AUUUCACGUCAACAUAUAGCAUCCAGAUCCAGAAACAUUGCUUGAGAUAGUUUAGUAGGUUUUAAUUUAUUAUUCUGUGUUUUUGUUUCAGUGGUUUUCUGGUCAUUGUCAUGCAUUUUCAGGUAAUUAAACAAAACAUUAGAGAACGCCAGAUUCGGGUUCUGCUCUCUGAGUGGAUAAUUACCUUGGAAUCCUGAUGAGAUCUCUCCCACGCAGCCCUGUGUCACUUAACACUCUUUGUUGCAAGUACCAUACACAUGGCAUACCUACUUCCUCAAUAAUUGAAUUUGUCAGGCAUUAAGAAAAAGUGGC